UUAAUUUGAGAGUUUGAUCCUGGCUCAGGACGAACGCUGGCGGCGUGCCUAAUACAUGCAAGUCGAACGAACUCUGGUAUUGAUUGGUGCUUGCAUCAUGAUUUACAUUUGAGUGAGUGGCGAACUGGUGAGUAACACGUGGGAAACCUGCCCAGAAGCGGGGGAUAACACCUGGAAACAGAUGCUAAUACCGCAUAACAACUUGGACCGCAUGGUCCGAGUUUGAAAGAUGGCUUCGGCUAUCACUUUUGGAUGGUCCCGCGGCGUAUUAGCUAGAUGGUGGGGUAACGGCUCACCAUGGCAAUGAUACGUAGCCGACCUGAGAGGGUAAUCGGCCACAUUGGGACUGAGACACGGCCCAAACUCCUACGGGAGGCAGCAGUAGGGAAUUUUCCACAAUGGACGAAAGUCUGAUGGAGCAACGCCGCGUGAGUGAAGAAGGGUUUCGGCUCGUAAAACUCUGUUGUUGAAGAAGAACAUAUCUGAGAGUAACUGUUCAGGUAUUGACGGUAUUUAACCAGAAAGCCACGGCUAACUACGUGCCAGCAGCCGCGGUAAUACGUAGGUGGCAAGCGUUGUCCGGAUUUAUUGGGCGUAAAGCGAGCGCAGGCGGUUUUUUAAGUCUGAUGUGAAAGCCUUCGGCUCAACCGAAGAAGUGCAUCGGAAACUGGGAAACUUGAGUGCAGAAGAGGACAGUGGAACUCCAUGUGUAGCGGUGAAAUGCGUAGAUAUAUGGAAGAACACCAGUGGCGAAGGCGGCUGUCUGGUCUGUAACUGACGCUGAGGCUCGAAAGUAUGGGUAGCAAACAGGAUUAGAUACCCUGGUAGUCCAUACCGUAAACGAUGAAUGCUAAGUGUUGGAGGGUUUCCGCCCUUCAGUGCUGCAGCUAACGCAUUAAGCAUUCCGCCUGGGGAGUACGGCCGCAAGGCUGAAACUCAAAGGAAUUGACGGGGGCCCGCACAAGCGGUGGAGCAUGUGGUUUAAUUCGAAGCUACGCGAAGAACCUUACCAGGUCUUGACAUACUAUGCAAAUCUAAGAGAUUAGACGUUCCCUUCGGGGACAUGGAUACAGGUGGUGCAUGGUUGUCGUCAGCUCGUGUCGUGAGAUGUUGGGUUAAGUCCCGCAACGAGCGCAACCCUUAUUAUCAGUUGCCAGCAUUAAGUUGGGCACUCUGGUGAGACUGCCGGUGACAAACCGGAGGAAGGUGGGGAUGACGUCAAAUCAUCAUGCCCCUUAUGACCUGGGCUACACACGUGCUACAAUGGAUGGUACAACGAGUUGCGAACUCGCGAGAGUAAGCUAAUCUCUUAAAGCCAUUCUCAGUUCGGAUUGUAGGCUGCAACUCGCCUACAUGAAGUCGGAAUCGCUAGUAAUCGCGGAUCAGCAUGCCGCGGUGAAUACGUUCCCGGGCCUUGUACACACCGCCCGUCACACCAUGAGAGUUUGUAACACCCAAAGUCGGUGGGGUAACCUUUUAGGAACCAGCCGCCUAAGGUGGGACAGAUGAUUAGGGUGAAGUCGUAACAAGGUAGCCGUAGGAGAACCUGCGGCUGGAUCACCUCCUUUCUAAGGAA
rnacentral:rRNA from 1 species